UUAAAUUGAAGAGUUUGAUCAUGGCUCAGAUUGAACGCUGGCGGCAGGCCUAACACAUGCAAGUCGAACGGUAACAGGAAGCAGCUUGCUGCUUCGCUGACGAGUGGCGGACGGGGGAGUAAUGUCUGGGAAACUGCCUGAUGGAGGGGGAUAACUACUGGAAACGGUAGCUAAUACCGCAUAACGUCGCAAGACCAAAGAGGGGGACCUUCGGGCCUCUUUCCAUCGGAUGUGCCCAGAUGGGAUUAGCUUGUUGGUGGGGUAACGGCUCAC
rnacentral:rRNA from 1 species